rnacentral:rRNA from 1 species
ACGCUGGCGGUAGGCUUAACACAUGCAAGUCGUGCGAGAAAGUAUCUUCGGAUAUGAGUAGAGCGGCGGACGGGUGAGUAACGCGUAGGAAUCUACCUAGUAGAAGGGGAUAGCCCGGGGAAACUCGGAUUAAUACCGUAUACCUCCUUCGGGAGAAAGAAGGCCUCUCUUUGAAGCUUUCGCUACUAGAUGAGCCUGCGUAAGAUUAGCUUGUUGGUGAGGUAAAGGCUCACCAAGGCGACGAUCUUUAGCGGGUCUGAGAGGACGAUCCGCCACAUUGGGACUGAGACACGGCCCAGACUCCUACGGGAGGCAGCAGUGGGGAAUAUUGGACAAUGGGCGCAAGCCUGAUCCAGCCAUACCGCGUGUGUGAAGAAGGCCCUAGGGUUGUAAAGCACUUUAAGUUGGAAGAAAAGUUAUUGGUUAAUACCCAAUGACCGUGACAUUACCAUCAGAAUAAGGACCGGCUAAUUCCG